rnacentral:lncRNA from 1 species
UAAAAACAGCAGUUUCCCUACACAAGCUCUCUCUUUUUGUCUGCUGCCAUCCGCAUAAGACAUGGCCAGCUAUUCCUUGCCUUCUGCCAUAAUUGUGAGGCCUCUCCAGCCAUAUGGAACUAUUCCUCUUAGGACUCUAGAUGCACGGAGAGUGGCCAGAUUAAUACAGACUGGCAAAAGAAGAACUUGGCAAAGUGAUUUGAUCACACACUUCUCACCCUCACAUCUCCUGACAGUUCCCCUAAUCCCUGCCCCACUUCCCCGCCAUGGGCUUCCAUCAGGAAACUCCUUGAUAUCAUCUUCGAGAAGAAAACUGAGGCAUAGAACAUUUGGGAAUGAAUCUAAGACUACACAUCUAGAAUAGCAGAGGAAGGCAAUGUAUCGCAUCCUGUAUUACCUUCCCCUGACCUCAUAGCUUCCCAAAACAGGAACAAUCAUGGGCUUUGAAGUUACAGGAAUGCAGAUGUGAUUCCUAUGGAUGAGGGUAACCUAGAGGCUAGAAGAACAAUAGGACAGAAGAAGCCUGGGUCCCUGAACAACCUUGUGGAGCAUAGACACCUACGUGGCCUGGACUGCCAGCUCACAAUGGGCCUCUCUGUGAGAGAAGGAAACUUCCCUCUUGUUUAAGCAACUGUGCUUUUGAGAAUCUCUUGGUCUAUACCCUAAUGAAUAAGGCCAUCAUAAAUGGAUAUCAAAGUAAGGAAAUUUGUGUAAAUGAUUUAAUAAAACAUUACCUCAGGUAUGAAAUAAUUCUACCUUGUGCCUUGACAACAUCAGGUAUUAUUCAUGCCCUUUUCUCUCCCUGUAAUGUCUCUUAUCCACGGGUAGAAAUUAUAUUUUCCAUCUAAGGUUUGCUCAAAUAUUAUCUACUUAAGUAGCUCUUACCAAUUUUGCCUCUCCUCCUGAGCUGACCCUAUGCCUUCUAUGCUGUUCCAGGUAAUAUUAAUCUCUUCCUUUGUACUUCUUUCACAGAACAUACUUUUUUGUCUAACAUAAUAACUAUAGGCAUAAGUGUAUAGAUUCCACUAGGGGCUUCAGAACAGAAACUAUCAUCUUAUUAAUUUUUUUCUCCCUGAUAUCUAGGGAAAUAUGUUAUAUAUAAUAGGCCCUUAGUAAUCCCAUAAAUGUUUGUGAGAUAUUCACUGACUAUAAGCCAUACUCUGUAUUUAUUUAGCUAAAACAGACGUCUUUCAUAUUUAGUUAGCAGAAAAUGCUCACAUUUACUCCUUUCCUGUUUACCAAAUGAAAGGGUAAUUGUUUUUUCACAGAUUGCACUAGAAAAGUGUCUUCUCUCUCUUUUUCAAAUAGAUUGUCUUUAAAACAUAUGACAGGAAAAGUGACUAUUGUUAGGAUAAGAUAAUUACGAUUGUAACAGCUAGUUUAAAAGAAGUGUCAGUUGCUCCUGUUUUAUUUUUCACAGGAUAGAGCUGCGGCCUGUCUCAGUAUGAUGUUUUCAGGAUCUGGUAUAUAUUUUUAUUUUCCUACAUGAAUCUUUCAUCCUUUUACUGACAUUUAUUCAUUUUAUCUAAUUAUCCUAAAAGGAAAGCUCUGGCCAGGCAAAUUGGUUGUUGUCUGCCUCUGAAGAGACAUUCAUAUCGCGUCGCUUAGCUUUCAAGUUUUGUGAUCAGGAACCCUCAGGCCCAUUUUUAAGGAGGUUUCAGGCUAGCUGAGCUUCACUGUCUCCCAAAAUGUACAAAAUGAGAUUACAUGAGGGACAAGAUCAAUUUACUGGAAGGUACUUAAGCAGUAAAUCUGGAGCUUUUUGUCCAGUCACUAUUGCUUUCAAGCUUUGUAGCAGAAAAUUAAGCCACAAGAGCUUUGACAAAUUAGAUAUUACUACCUCUAAUUGUGUAUGUUUAAGCUUAUCACACUGAAUUGCAGCAUUGUAACUGACUAUUAUGCCAACAAGGCCUUCGUUUAAUCAGCGCAGUGCCAUUUAAUCGCAAUUAAUCACUCAACUAAAAUGUCAUAUUAAGGUCACAGAAACUUGAAGGGCUAAAAGAAAAGAGAACAUUAAAGUCAGCUGAUGGAGGAAAAGAGCAUGGUGUGCCAAGGGAAGUUCUGAGCACUCUUUUUCAUUAGAAGCUGGUAGAACAUUUAAUGAGAAUUCAGUCUUAACUUUCAGCUGAGAUCAGAACAACGUGCC